AGCGAACGCUGGCGGCAGGCCUAACACAUGCAAGUCGAACGAACCUUUCGGGGUUAGUGGCGGACGGGUGAGUAACACGUGGGAACGUGCCUUUAGGUUCGGAAUAACUCAGGGAAACUUGUGCUAAUACCGAAUGUGCCCUUCGGGAGAAAGAUUAAUCGCCUUUAGAGCGGCCCGCGUCUGAUUAGCUAGUUGGUUGAGGUAAUGGCUCACCAAGGCGACGAUCAGUAGCUGGUCUGAGAGGAUGAUCAGCCACAUUGGGACUGAGACACGGCCCAAACUCCUACGGGAGGCAGCAGUGGGGAAUCUUGCGCAAUGGGCGAAAGCCUGACGCAGCCAUGCCGCGUGAAUGAUGAAGGUCUUAGGAUUGUAAAAUUCUUUCACCGGGGACGAUAAUGACGGUACCCGGAGAAGAAGCCCCGGCUAACUUCGUG
rnacentral:rRNA from 1 species